GACGUAGGGGGCGAGCGUUGUCCGGAUUCAUUGGGCGUAAAGCGCGCGCAGGCGGCCCGGCAAGUCGGAUGUGAAAACCCGGGGCUCAACCCCGGGCCUGCACUCGAAACUGUCGGACUCGAGGCAGGUAGGGGAGAUCGGAAUUCCCGGUGUAGCGGUGAAAUGCGCAGAUAUCGGGAGGAACACCGGUGGCGAAGGCGGAUCUCUGGGCCUGUUCUGACGCUCAGGCGCGAAAGCGUGGGGAGCAAACAGG
rnacentral:rRNA from 1 species